UCCCCUGUAGCUCAGUGAUAGAGCGCUCUCCCUAUUUUUAAGGCCUAUUUUUAGAAGACGGCUACGGUUUGAGUCUGUGCAGGGGAG